rnacentral:tRNA from 1 species
GACUUUAGCUCAGUUGGUUAGAGCGUCCGGCUCAUAACCGGAUGGUCCAAGGUUCAAGUCCUUGAAGUC